CCAAUUACCUGGCAGGGGAGAUACUUUGAUCGCCAGUGGUGGGUUACUCUGGGUGAGGCUUCUCCAUUGACCCCUGCGCUUACCCCACAAGAGGGAAACUCGACUCCAAAAUUUGUGUUAGUGGGUAAUUGUGUUCAUGCUCUUCCCUU
ensembl:snRNA U1 U1 spliceosomal RNA